rnacentral:rRNA from 1 species
AUUGAACGCUGGCGGCAGGCCUAACAAAUGCAAGUCGAGCGGAGCGGCGGACUGGUGAGUAAUGCUUAGGAAUCGGCCUGGUAGUGGGGGAUAACAUCACGAAAGGGACGCUAAUACCGCAUACUAACAGAUGAGACUAGGUCGGAUUAGCUAGUUGGUGGGGUAAAGGCCUACCAAGGCGACGAUCCGUAACGGGUCUGAGAGGAUGAUCAGCCACACUGGAACUGAGACACGGUCUAGACUCCUACGGGUGGCACCAUGGGGAAAUAUUGGGCAAUGGGGGAAAUCCUGGUCCGGCUAGGCCGCGGGUGUGAGGAAGGUCUUCGGAUUUUAAAGCACGUGAGGUUGGGAGACGUUACCAACAGAAUAAGCACCAGCUAAGUUCGUGCCAGCAGCCGCGGUAAUAC